rnacentral:rRNA from 1 species
UGCGUAGGCGGGUUUCUAAGUCAGAGGUGAAAGCCUGGAGCUCAACUCCAGAACUGCCUUUGAUACUGGAAGUCUUGAGUAUGGCAGAGGUGAGUGGAACUGCGAGUGUAGAGGUGAAAUUCGUAGAUAUUCGGAAGAACACCAGUGGCGAAGGCGGCUCACUGGCUCGGUACUGACGCUGAGGUGCGAAAGCGUGGGAGCAAACA